rfam:Ixodes scapularis strain Wikel colony gcontig_1107728820692, whole genome shotgun sequence.
GCCUCGGUGGAUCCGAGGCAAAGCGCCGGCCUACGGAUCCCCAGGUGGCGGGUUCGAAUCCCGCCCGAGGUG